UACGUAGGGGGCAAGCGUUGUCCGGAUUUAUUGGGCGUAAAGCGCGUGUAGGCGGCGCGGUAAGUCGGGUGUGAAAUUUCGAGGCUUAACUUCGAAACUGCAUUCGAUACUGCCGUGCUAGAGGACUGGAGAGGAGACUGGAAUUUACGGUGUAGCGGUGAAAUGCGUAGAUAUCGUAAGGAAGACCAGUGGCAAAGGCGGGUCUCUGGACAGUUCCUGACGCUGAGGCACGAAGGUCAGGGGAGCAAACGGG
rnacentral:rRNA from 1 species